CUGCUGCUGCUUGAGAAGGGGCUGCUUCAGUAGCUGCCGCCACGGAGACGCUCGGGGCUCUCACUCAGGCCGUCUUCUCCUUCCCUAAGUGGGGGAGCCCAGCAGAGACUCUGGCCAUGCUGGCCACCCUCAUGACAGCGCUGUUCUUCAUGGUGAGAGCGUUCAGACGGCUCGGCACCAACCUGUUCCACAAGGAGCCGCUGCCCUACCUCGUGUACCAGCCCCUGCCCUGGCAGGUCCAGUGCGUGACGCAGAACCGCCGAGCCAGCCGGGACGGCGAGAGAGGUGGGAGCUCCCGAAAAAACAGCACCAACUCGCUCCCCGGGCAGAAAGGU